AAAGGCUUGGACCUGAGGUACUAUCAGAUUUAACCCAGUUCACCAUGCAAGUAUCCGCAUUCCCGUGAGAAUGCCCCAAAUUCUCUGUUCGAGAACAGGGAGCAGGUAUCAGGCACGACAACCCAGCCCAAGACACCUUGCUAUGCCACACCCCCAAGGGAUUAUCAGCAGUUGUAGACAUUAGGCCAUUAGUGAAAACUUGACUUAGCUAGGGCUAAAAGAGUCGGUAAAAUUCGUGCCAGCUACCGCGGUUAUACGAAAGACUCUAGUUGAUAGAUAUCGGCGCAAAGGGUGGUUAGGAAUAUAAAUAAAAAUAGGGCUAAAGACCUUCCAAGCUGUUAUACGCCACUGAAGACACGAAACCCCACAUUACGAAAGUGGCCCUACUAUAAUCAUCCGACCCCACGAAAGUUGAGAAACAAACUGGGAUUAGAGACCCCACUAUGCUCAGCCAUAAACUCAGAUGAGGCCUCACUCAUCCGCCCGGGUACUACGAGCACAGCUUAAAACCCAAAGGACUUGGCGGUGCUUCAGAUCCACCUAAAGGAGCCUGUUCUAAAACCGAUACCCCCCGUUAAACCUCUCCACCUCUUGUUAAUUCCGUCUAUAUACCGCCGUCGUCAGCUCACCCCGUAAGGGAAUAAAAGAAAGCAAAGAGGACACCCUCCAAAACGUCAGGUCGAGGUGUAGUGUAUGAGGUGGCAAGAAAUGGGCUACAUUUUCUAUAUAUAGAACACAACGAACAGCAUCAAUGAAAUAUUACGCUUGAAGGAGGAUUUAGUAGUAAAAAGAAAAUAGAGAGUUCUUUUGAAACAGGCUUUGAAGCGCGCACACACCGCCCGUCAAUCUCCCC
rnacentral:ncRNA from 1 species